UUUUAUUUUUAUUACUUUUCGACAAGGUCUUGCUAUUAAAGCCCACAAUUCCACUGUCCCCAUCUCCGGAGGGCUAGGAUUACAGAUGUACACUCUACAGUAUCCGGUUAUUAUCUGCUUUUACUGAGGUGAAAACUGGCCUCCAAAGAAGGAUUUGUGAGGUCAUUUUCAAGGUCACAGCAAAUUGGCAGUUUUAGGGUUUUAUGUCUGCCUCACUGGGAAGCCCAAGAUCUUAACCAACUUUCUAGAUGAACCAGAGUAGGAAAGGCCAUUGUAGCAGGCACAGGCAUACACAGAGUGGACGGUGGACUUCCAGCCAGUAGACUGUCACAGAGCAUGCAUAUGACAGGCUAAGAGUAGAAAGCCCUCAAGGUGGUGAAUAGUUGUAAUCCCAGAACUUAGGAGUCAGAGGCAGGGGGACCAUGUGCUUGAAACAGCUUGAGCUAUCUAACAACACUGUCUCAAAACAACCAGUGACAACAAAACAAUAACAAAACAACAACAAACGAACAACAACAAAAACCCAAACAAAUAAAAAGCUAACCAGACUGGUGAAAGAGAGACCCAGGCAAGCAAGCUGGUAGUUUUCGUGAGUCCUUGAAAGGGGUAGGCUAGAGCGUGAGGCUAUGGGAUUCUAGAACAGGAUUCUAGAACAGUCCAACGAGAAUGUUUUUAGAGAAUCCAUAGCUACUAAGAUGAAGCCCAGGCACAUACAAGCCACCUGAGAUUCAUACAACAAAUUCACGGCGACCAGAGAUCCUGCUCCCUCGUCUCUCCCAAGACCUGUUAACUUCCAGAAGUCUUCAAAGCCCUUUUGGGUCCAGUUUCUCGCUAUCUACCCAAUGGGCAGACAGGAUGAGGACUUCAGAAGAAAGUCAUGAGGGAAGGCAUCGUUUGGGUGGAGUCUUCUACAAAUUGACACCCUAUUCAUACCUCUGAUCCACUGCUGAGAGCAUCCUGCAGAACCAAGGCUCUACUGAUGUCACUCUGAGGAAGUCCCAAUUCAAAGUGACAGCGUUCUUCUCCAUGCUGCAUAGGGCUACAGGGAAAAAUGAGACCCAGCUUGGUCUCUGAUCCCGAGGUUCUCAAAUCAGCUCCUGGGAAGCAUCUUGCAUGUGGAAGACAGGUAACAGUUGACCAAGAGGUGGCAUAUCAUCAUGGAGAUGUCUAAGACACCGGUUUCCAGACUCAGCACAGAAGAUGUACUACACUAAGAGAAUUCUGUGCAGUGUUCACAUUGUGACUUACAGGAAGGCUCCACGCUGCCUAAGGAGAACCAGCAUCAGCAGGGUCCCUGUCACUAUGGCUACAAAGAAGCGUGGGGCCUGCCUGUCUGGGAGGUUUGAUGAGAUAGACACAUCCUGAGAGGCUUCUUCACACUUGGUCGAAGUGAACUUGCCAUGCUGGUAUCUCCUUGGUAAGCAUUGGCUCUGGCGCUGGUUCUGGUGCUUCCUGAAGAUGGGAUUUUUGUGGCAGGAAGUACAGGAAGGAUUCUGUCUCUCAGAGAUUCAUAUCACUCCAGGGAAAAUGGAAGCUUCUGAGAAGUCCUGCCCUGGGGAUAUUUGGCCAAAAACCAAAACCAAAACCAAAACCAAAACCAAGCAAAACACCCCAGUAGUUCCUAUGCAUAUUUGAACAUGAUGGCUUUUCACCCCAACUGCGUUGGGAAAUACUGAGUUACAUCAUACUUAUUUUUUCCCUGGAGUCCUGGAGAGCAAUUCAUAAUCCUCAAGAGUAUUUCUAGCUGGCACGGCUGAUGAGCUGUUGAUCUCCAGGCAAAGGCUUGGGCAACUGGCUUGGUCUUUCCAUGUCUUGCUUAUUAUUACUUGAGAACUGGGCAUAAGUAAUCCUUAUUCUGACAACCCUGCAGUGUUGUUGAGAUCAGACCUAUCUUGCUAUAUAACACCAGGGAAUUCCAUGUGAGGUCUACAAGACCUGGGUGAAGUUGAUGAAAUAGAAGUCAUAAAGGAAAACUCCCCAUGAACACAAAAGGACUGUGCAGAUGUGUGUGGCUACACUGUUUAAUGGUGCAUGUCAGAUGGAAUUAUUAAAGACAGAUAAAAAUCCUAUUUUCUCA